rnacentral:rRNA from 1 species
CCUACGGGAGGCAGCAGUGAGGAAUAUUGGUCAAUGGACGCAAGUCUGAACCAGCAAUGCCGCGUGCAGGAAGACGGCCCUAUGAGUUGUAAACUGCUUUUGUACGAGGGUAAACGCAGAUACGCGUAUCUGUCUGAAAGUAUCGUACGAAUAAGGAUCGGCUAACUUCGCGCCAGCAGCCGCGGGAAUACGGAGGAUUCAAGCGUUAUCCGGAUUUAUUGGGUUUAAAGGGUGCGUAGGCGGUCGGAUAAGUUAGAGGUGAAAUCCCGAGGCUCAACUUCGGAAUUGCCUCUGAUACUGUGCGGCUAGAGAGUAGUUGCGGUAGGCGGAAUGUAUGGUGUAGCGGUGAAAUGCUUAGAGAUCAUACAGAACACCGAUUGCGAAGGCAGCUUACCAAGCUACUUCUGACGUUGAGGCACGAAAGCGUGGGGAGCAAACAGGAUUAGAUACCCGGGUAGUC